UACAGAGGUCCCAAGCGUUGUUCGGAUUCACUGGGCGUAAAGGGUGCGUAGGUGGUGAGGUAAGUCGGAUGUGAAAUCUCCGGGCUCAACCCGGAAAUGGCAUUGGAAACUACCUUGCUAGAGGAUUUGAGGGGGGAUUGGAAUACUUGGUGUAGCAGUGAAAUGCGUAGAUAUCAAGUGGAACACCAGUGGCGAAGGCGAAUCCCUGGAAAAUACCUGACGCUGAGACGCGAAAGCGUGGGGAGCAAACAGG
rnacentral:rRNA from 1 species